rnacentral:rRNA from 1 species
GGGGAAUAUUGCACAAUGGGCGAAAGCCUGAUGCAGCAACGCCGCGUGAGUGAUGAAGGUCUUCGGAUUGUAAAGCUCUGUCUUUUGGGACGAUAAUGACGGUACCAAAGGAGGAAGCCACGGCUAACUACGUGCCAGCAGCCGCGGUAAUACGUAGGUGGCGAGCGUUGUCCGGAUUUACUGGGCGUAAAGGGUGCGUAGGCGGAUGUUUAAGUGAGAUGUGAAAU